rnacentral:tRNA from 1 species
GGAUGGGUGGCCGAGUGGACUAAGGCGGCAGUCUUGAAAACUGCUGUACGGGAAACCGUACCGGGGGUUCGAAUCCCUCCCCAUCCG